rnacentral:RNase_P_RNA from 2 species
GGAGUUAACUAGAUAAUCGCUGUUUCUUUGAUUAAUUAUUUAAAAAUAUUUAACAAAAUAAUUAAUGUAGUAAUAGUAGAAAAAGAGGAAAGUCCGGGCUCCAUAGAGCAGAGUGCCAGGUAACACCUGGGAGAUGUGAAUCUACGACUAGUGCAACAGAAAAUAAACCGCCUAUUAAAUUUUUUUUAUUAAUAGUAGUAUAAGUAUUAAUUAAGUUAUAUUAAUUAUUAGCGAAAUUAUUAUUAGGUAAGGGUGAAAUGGUGUGGUAAGAGCACACCACAUAUUUUGGUAACAAAUAUGGUAUGGUAAACUUCCACUUGGAGCAAGGCCAAAUAAUAGUUCAGUAAAAUAUGGCUCGUAUUGAACUUUGGGUGGGCCGCUUUUGAGUCAAUAUGUGAAUAUUGGCCUAGAUGAAUGAUUAUCCAUGACAGAACCCGGCUUACAGUUAACUCCAAUU